GGUGUUUACACAGAUGAAAAAUAUUGUGUUCAACUUGAUAUUUAGCUUUCUAUGUAUUGCUGAAUAAAAGUGUCGAACAAGUCAUACUUAACCCAACAAGCAUUUUUGCUGCACAAGAGUGAAGCAAACAACACUUAAGCAUACUUUAGCUUACAAACUGUUAUUUGGCUUGUUCUGUAACUUGGGAAGACCAAUACUCAGCUGACAUUGUGUCCAGCCACUGGCACAAUUAACCAACCAAUGUUUAGCAAAUACUCUCUAUUAAAUGCUGUUCAUGAAAUAAAAAAAAAGUUUUAUGAAUUAUAAAAAAAAACAAAAGUUUCACGUGUCUUACGUCCUACUCAUGUGGUCGCGCCUCUGCUAUAUUAAUCGAGGAAGUUGCAAAAACUUUAAUUUGCCAAGGCCUUCUGAAUCAUCAAUUCAUUGGAAAUGACGGCGUACAAGGUGUGGACUCAUUUCACAAUGAUAAGUCAUCACCCUAUUUUCGACUAAUAUACUAAUCAGCCCAAAAUCAGUAUGCUCAACUGAUGAUUUGCAGAACCUGGUAAAAACCGUUCAACCAUACAAGUUUGGCCUAUCAAUUAUCAGAUAUUCCUUUAACUGCUGGGUGUGUACACACAUUACACACGACAGACUACAGGUGACCGUUCUGUGCUAAUUAAGAAUAGAAUCGUUACGUAGCUAGUUCGUAUUUAAGAACGGUCUGUAUUAGGGCGCCAUGUUUUUCACACCCUUCUGCAUAAUGGGCAGAUGCCUUUGCAGCUUCUCAGAAAUAAAUUUACCGUGCUAGGGAUCACGUAUAAAUGCGAUUGCUAAUCAGUGCUCAGGGCUCAGAUUCAUUCUACCAAUCAAGUGCGCAUUUACGGUUGAUCGUCAAUCCAACGUGAUAAACAAGUGUGACUAAAGUGCUAAAGAAAUUGCUUCGUCUGAUAUCCACAACAAAAACAAUGUUUCCCGCCAAGGUUUUGAUUUCGAUGAUUUCGCUAGCAUUGCUUGGUGUGCAGUGCACCCCUUUUCACCGUGAUUUGCUGUCCAAUGAAGAAACUUCUUCGGAGCCAGCUUCAACAUACGUGGAGAGUUAUGACUCAGACGACUCGAUAGAAGCCACAACCGAAUUGUACCUAUUAUUUGGGGUGCCUCUUGUGAAAAGAAGCAUACCUGAGUCAUUGGAAAAUCAACAAGCUGCCGAGAUCAACUCGAACGCAUCACCAAAUGAGGAUAACGAUAUGGAAGUGGCAGAAACGCAUCUCUUCCGACCAGUGUUUCGUUACAAGUCUCAAUAUGCCGAACGGAGACGUAUUCGGCAAAUUCCUCCACAAUUUGCGGUAGUUGUGCAACAAUGAGUUUAAUUCGAAAUUGGGUUAUGUGGUUAAUGUUCUCGAGUAUGUUUGUGAAUGAUUCAUCAGAUCUCAUUGAAUAAGAUAAGUGAUUACGAGUGGUUGAGUGUAUGUCAUUUCUAAGAUAAUAAACUAUAUUAGUGAAA